rnacentral:lncRNA from 1 species
UGGGGCCUACUUAAUUGUAGAUGCACAGUAAGUUGCUGAUAGAUGAAUGGCAAAUACAUAAGAAACAGCAUAAAAAUUAAAGCACAGUCUCUGUUUUUAAUGGAUUAUAUACUCACUUAUUAAAUAUUCAAUAUGGUGACAAAAGUUUUAAAGCUAAAACAAAAUCGGGCCACUGAAUCUUUAACUUCUACAAUUUCCUUUAUUUACACACACCUCAAAGGGUUAUUGGAACAAUUAAAUGACUCAGUGCUAUGAAACCCUGAGCCUGGUUUAUAACCUUUAGGAGACUUAGCUGUUACUGUGUGUCUUACAUACCUCAAGGGAGUUUCUAAGCAUUCAAGAUCUGUGAAAAGUGUGAAAUGCUAAAUAAGUGUAAUGGAAAGGUAAAUCCUCACCAUGGCAAGCAUUGAGAACAAAUGUCUAAAUUGAUUAUGAAAGCAAGUACUGUUCGGUAAAAAGUGCACGGAUUUUAACCAACAUGAAAUUUGUUUCUCUAAUGCAAUGCAUUAGAGAAAUUGCGUGGACUGACUCCAUUUUUAGAUAAACAGGAAGUACUCUCAGGGUUGCCUUAUUCUGCAUAGUGUUGUCUUUAUUUUUGACUACAGAAAGCUGGCUUAAGACAUCUUUCACAAGCAUGACUUUGGAGGUCCACUUUCAUUCAAGAAUUCAAGUCUAAAACUCGAAGUGCAGAGAGCUGGAGAGACGCGCAAGCACCGACCGGUCACCGCUCCAAUUACCUCAUCGCUCCAACUCCCCGCCCCUCUCAAACCUGGAAGGAGCAGCCCCCCUUCUCUCCAGGGUCAUCGUCCCCCCACCCCCAGUGGUGCUCCCAUCUCUUCGGUCAGUAUCCCAGAUCCUCUCUGGGGGCGCGGCGCCGGCCUCCCUACCCCGGCCACGCGCACCCAAGGGUUAAGGGCGCGGGCAGCCGUGCGCUCGCCUAGCUCCGUGCGGCUCGCCGGGCCGCCUGCCAGAGGGUGCCCCCCCCCCCACGAAGUCGGAUCCUUGAGCUGCGGCGGCGGCAGCCAACUGCUCCAUAUUUGGCUUCUAUUACACAUUUACAUACUGGAGCGAGCGAGCGAGCGAGCGCGAGAGAGCGCGAGGGAGGGCGGGCGGGCGGGCGGAGGGAGGAGGGCGGGGAGGGGAGCGGGAGGAGGGGGAGGAGAGAGCGGAGUAUACCGCAGACAUCAUUUCUACUACAGUGGCGGAGCCGUACAGGACCUGUUUCACUGCAGGGGGAUCCAAAAACAAGCCCUGUGGAGCAGCAGCCAGACCAACAGCAGCCGCAAGACACUGUUUCUCUCCCUCUAUCCCCCCUUCCCCACGCAACCCCAGAUCCAUUUACACUUUACAAAGCAUCCUGCAACAAUUCACCGCGGUGGUCCAUUCACCCUGCAGAUUUGCCUGCCAUCCUUGGACCCCAGUCUCCUCCACUGUCACCACAGGGAAGAGCAUUGCAUGUCAGCAACCUGA